GGUGAUGUAACUCAGUGGUAGAGCUCUUGGCUAGCAAGCAUGAGGCCCUGGAUUCAAUCCCCAGUACCACAA
rfam:Ictidomys tridecemlineatus contig002067, whole genome shotgun sequence.